UACGAAGGGGGCUAGCGUUGUUCGGAAUUACUGGGCGUAAAGCGCGCGCAGGCGGCUAUCCAAGUCAGUGGUGAAAGCCCGGAGCUUAACUCCGGAACUGCCAUUGAAACUGUUUAGCUUGAGGACGAGAGAGGUGAGUGGAAUUCCCAGUGUAGAGGUGAAAUUCGUAGAUAUUGGGAAGAACACCGGUGGCGAAGGCGGCUCACUGGCUCAUUACUGACGCUCAGGCGCGACAGCGUGGGGAUCAAACAGG
rnacentral:rRNA from 1 species